rnacentral:rRNA from 1 species
GAUGAACGCUGGCGGCGUGCUUAACACAUGCAAGUCGAACGAAGCAUUUAAAACAGAUUAUUUCGGUAUGAAGUUUUUUAUGACUGAGUGGCGGACGGGUGAGUAACGCGUGGGUAACCUGCCUUGUACUGGGGGAUAGCAGCUGGAAACGGCUGGUAAUACCGCAUAAGCGCACGGUGCUGCAUGGCACAGUGUGAAAAACUCCGGUGGUAUAAGAUGGACCCGCGUCUGAUUAGCUAGUUGGUGAGAUAACAGCCCACCAAGGCGACGAUCAGUAGGCGACCUGAGAGGGUGACCGGCCACAUUGGGACUGAGACACGGCCCAGACUCCUACGGGAGGCAGCAGUGGGGAAUAUUGCACAAUGGAGGAAACUCUGAUGCAGCGACGCCGCGUGAGUGAAGAAGUAAUUCGUUAUGUAAAGCUCUAUCAGCAGGGAAGAUAGUGACGGUACCUGACUAAGAAGCUCCGGCUAAAUACGUGCCAGCCGCCGCAGUAA